rnacentral:rRNA from 1 species
ACUCUCGUGUCAGAGUUUGAUCCUGGCUCAGGAUAAACGCUGACAGAAUGCUUAACACAUGCAAGUCGAUGAUGGGAAGCUAAGCCUAGCUUAGAAGAAGUCAUGGCGGACGGGUGAGUAACGUGUAAAGAACUUGCCCUCUAGACUGGGAUAACAGAUAGAAAUGUCUGAUAAUACCGGAUAUUAUUGUUACAUGGUAUCAUGUAGGAAUGAAAGGAUAAGAUUGCUAGAGGAGAGCCUUGCAUCCUAUUAGCUAGUUGGUAAGGUAGUGGCUUACCAAGGCGAUGAUAGGUAGCCGGCCUGAGAGGGUGGACGGCCACAAGGGGACUGAGAUACGGCCCUU